rnacentral:rRNA from 1 species
CCUACGGGUGGCAGCAGUGAGGAAUAUUGGUCAAUGGGAGAGAUCCUGAACCAGCCAAGCCGCGUGAGGGAAGACGGCCCUAUGGGUUGUAAACCUCUUUUGUCGGAGAACAAAACCCGGGACGUGUCCCGGACUGCGUGUAUCCGAAGAAAAAGCAUCGGCUAACUCCGUGCCAGCAGCCGCGGUAAUACGGAGGAUGCGAGCGUUAUCCGGAUUUAUUGGGUUUAAAGGGUGCGUAGGCGGGCCUUCAGGCCGGCGGUAAAAUUGCGGGGCUCAACCCCGCCGAGCCGUCGGAACCGGGGGCCUUGAGUACCGGAGAAGUACGCGGAAUGCGUGGUGUAGCGGUGAAAUGCAUAGAUAUCACGCAGAACCCCGAUUGCGAAGGCAGCGUACCGGCCGGUCACUGACGCUGAGGCACGAAAGCGCGGGUAUCGAACAGGAUUAGAUACCCCGGUAGUC